UCAGUUUAAAAAAAUAGAAACGCUUCCCCUUUCACCUUACCUUCGUUCAUUUUCUCCUUCUCUGAGCCGUUUCUCUAGGGUUUCAAAAUCAUUUAAAACCUUCCUCAGAGAAUUUCAUGUAUCUAGCUGCUUCAGUCAAGGAUUCGCAUUCUUUAGAUUAUCAGUUUCAUUUGCACCCUUUUCUCCCAAAUUUUUCAGCGCGCCGUUUGAGAGGAAGAAAUUGAAUUUGGGAAGAACGGUUUUGUUGGGGUCAGAGGAAAGAAGCUUUGGAUGAUUCGUGAUAACUAAGAGUUUGUGAAGCCGUGGGCUCUGAACAAGGCGAGGAUUGAGUCAGGGUUUUGUGAGUCGGUGAGACGAACUCGGGUGGAGAUGCUGGAAGCGGUUUCAGGGGAGAAGUUGAAAUUGUUGAUGAGGUAGUUGGUGGUGAAUGAGUGUUGUUUGGAGGAGGAAAAGUGGUGAAGAAAUGAGGGGGUUUUGAUGAUGGUGAUGUUGAGGUGGAGUUGAUAAAGGAUGGGAGCUUUGAUGUUGAGGUUAAGGUCCAUGUGAUUCGCUGCAAUGGAGUAUAAGAUUGUGGUGGCUGGGUUUGAUAAUGCUGCAAAGAUCACCACCAUUUAUAAAUUGCAUUUGGUGCAUAUGACUAUGGCUGAGGUUUGGCACCGGAAAUAGUUCCUUCAAUGGUGGCUGCUGGCUGGGUGACAGGGUUUUCAUGGUGCAUUUGGGUUUUUCCGCAAUUUUUCAGGAACGGUUACCAUUUCUUCUCACUGCGAUUCAUCUUCCAUAUCAGUUUGUGUGCAGCGCCGCCACGAACCCAUUCACAGUACUGUGGUACCUAUGUGACCCAUGAUUUUACUGAUGUGAUUGAAUUUAACCAUGCUAUUGGAGCUCAAGGAAUUAUGAGUGUAGAAUAUAAGGAAAUUGUUGCUCAAUAUGGAGAGCUGAUUUGGGAUCACUUGGUAUCAGGGGUAUGUUCACAAUUUUCAACUCCCAGAAAACUGCAUUCCCAUGUCUGAUAAGGGUGGAGAGCAUGUGGAACUCCAAAUUCAAAAGGAGAAAACAAUGGACAAUGACCAGGGAUCAGGGAUGGGCUGUGGCCAGUCAAGGUACAACCGUACAAGAAGGACAACACAGGGCAAUCGAGGCACAUUUAUUAUGUGCCUUGAUGAACAUGACCAGUGGAAGAAUAAGGCUAGAGAUAAAGGGCUUUUGCAAAGAAUGGCUGAUUUAUAAGCAAGAACUCCAAACGCCAUACCAUUGUAAUCGCCUGAUACUGUCAGGAGUUAAUGUGGUCAUCCAAAUGGAGAAUUUCUUCAUGUAUCGUUGCUAAAUGCUUGGAGCUGGAACUACAAGCUAUAACUUUGCACUGACACAAAUUGCUUCUUUUACCACGGACAUCAAAUUGUCCUCCUUGGUGUAACAGGUAUGAGGCAUUCUCUGUAGCAUAUUGAAAGCGGAUUGGAAAGCAAGCUUACACAUGAGUUGAUAUGGAUAGUUAUUUUUAUGUUCUUUUGUUUGCUAAGAAAAUUCUUUGCUCAUAAUAUUUUCAUUCACUUGCAUGCCAUUAGUGAGGGAAAAAGGAUUAAUGGCAUUCAAAUAAAAUUAUUUCAAUUUUAA